rnacentral:rRNA from 1 species
UCGGAAUUACUGGGCGUAAAGCGUGCGCAGGCGGUUUUUUAAGACAGAUGUGAAAUCCCCGGGCUUAACCUGGGAACUGCAUUUGUGACUGGAAGACUAGAGUAUGGCAGAGGGGGGUAGAAUUCCACGUGUAGCAGUGAAAUGCGUAGAUAUGUGGAGGAAUACCGAUGGCGAAGGCAGCCCCCUGGGUCAAUACUGACGCUCAUGCACGAAAGCGUGGGGAGCAAGCAGGAUUAGAUACCCUGGUAGUCCACGCCCUAAACGAUGUCAACUAGGUGUUGGGGAAGGAGACUUCUUUAGUACCGCAGCUAACGCGAUAAGUUGACCGCCUGGGGAGUACGGUCGCAAGAUUAAAACUCAAAGGAAUUGACGGGGACCCGCACAAGCGGUGGACUAUGUGGAUUAAUUCGAUGCAACGCGAAAAACCUUACCUACCCUUGACAUGUCCGAAAGAUCGCAGAGAUGUGAUUGUGCCCGAAAGGGAAUCCGAACACAGGUGCUGCAUGGCUGUCGUCAGCUCGUGUCGUGAGAUGUUGGGUUAAGUCCCGCAACGAGCGCAACCCUUGUCAUUAAUUGCCAUCAUUUGGUUGGGCCCUUUAAUGAGACUGCCGGUGAUAAACCGGAGGAAGGUGGG